rnacentral:rRNA from 1 species
GGAGUUAGCCGGUGCUUCUUCUGCGAGUAACGUCACAGAUGUAAGGUAUUAACUUACACCCUUUCCUCCUCGCUGAAAGUGCUUUACAACCCGAAGGCCUUCUUCACACACGCGGCAUGGCUGCAUCAGGGUUUCCCCCAUUGUGCAAUAUUCCCCACUGCUGCCUCCCGUAGGAGUCUGGGCCGUGUCUCAGUCCCAGUGUGGCUGAUCAUCCUCUCAGACCCAGCUAGGGAUCGUCGCCUAGGUGAGCCUUUACCUCACCUACUAGCUAAUCCCACCUGGGCUUAUCCAUCAGCGCAAGGCCCGAAGGUCCCCUGCUUUCCCCCGUAGGGCGUAUGCGGUAUUAGCAGUCGUUUCCAACUGUUAUCCCCCACAAAUGGGCAAAUUCCCAGGCAUUACUCACCCGUCCGCCGCUCGUCAUCUUCAAAGCAAGCUUUUGAAAUGUUACCGCUCGACUUGCAUGUGUUAGGCCUGCCGCCAGCGUUCAAUCUGAGCCAGGAUCAAACUCUGA